rnacentral:rRNA from 1 species
GAUGAACGCUGGCGGCGUGCCUAAUACAUGCAAGUCGAGCGAACAGACGAGGAGCUUGCUCCUUUGACGUUAGCGGCGGACGGGUGAGUAACACGUAGGUAACCUACCUAUAAGACUGGGAUAACUUCGGGAAACCGGAGCUAAUACCGGAUAAUAUUUCGAACCGCAUGGUUCGAUAGUGAAAGAUGGCUUUGCUAUCACUUAUAGAUGGACCUGCGCCGUAUUAGCUAGUUGGUAAGGUAACGGCUUACCAAGGCAACGAUACGUAGCCGACCUGAGAGGGUGUGCGGCCACACUGGAACUGAGACACGGUCCAGACUCCUACGGGAGGCAGCAGUAGGGAAUCUUCCGAAAUGGGCGAAAGCAUGACGGAGCAACGCCGCGUGAGUGAUGAAGGUCUUCGGAUCGUAAAACUCUGUUACUAGGGAAGAACAAACGUGUAAGUAACUGAGCACGUCUUGACGGUACCUAAUCAGAAAGCCACGGCUAACUACG